rnacentral:rRNA from 1 species
CCUACGGGACGCAGCAGUGGGGAAUAUUGCACAAUGGGGGGAACCCUGAUGCAGCGACGCCGCGUGAGUGAAGAAGUAUUUCGGUAUGUAAAGCUCUAUCAGCAGGGAAGAAGAUGACGGUACCUGACUAAGAAGCCCCGGCUAACUACGUGCCAGCAGCCGCGGUAAUACGUAGGGGGCAAGUGUUAUCUGGAUUUACUGGGUGUAAAGGGAGCGUAGACGGCAAGGCAAGUCUGGAGUGAAAGCCCGGGGCCCAACCCCGGGACUGCUUUGGAAACUGCCGGGCUGGAGUGUCGGAGGGGGAC